UCUUUGCUCUUGACAUCUUCCAUCCUUUUGGAAAAAAUCCCCCUUUUUUCAAGCUGUCUUGUCACUUGUCAUGAAAUGUUUAGGCUGAACCAUGUUACAUUUCCAUCCGUAGCCAUUAGCUAGUAAUUACUUUCUUCUUGAUAUGCUUUACAUCUUGGAUUGAAUUGUGUGGAGUAGGACUAAUUCCAGUCUCCCUAGGAUAUUGUCUUCUGUAUCACUGAGGAGAACUAUCUUCAUGCCAGCACAACUGAGAUCUGGAAUCUUACCCUAGCUCCCUUAUGUGUUGGAAUCCCCAGCUAGGAGUUAUGCUUCCGGCAGAGAGAUUUAAUGACAGAGAGAAUACAGUGAGCCAAAAUGCUGGCAAACAGGGUGGAUUUUAAAAAAUAUUUGUGAGCAACAAAUUGAGGUGUUUUUUUGUAAAUCGUGUUGUAGACAUUCAUUUUCCCCUCUUAUAACUUAUUUGAUUAAGUAGAAGUGCAAUACUAGCCUAAGGUAAAUUGGGAAAUCAGUCCUUUGGAUGCAAUUCCUCGUUGUGUUUUUCUUUCCAUUCCUGAUGAACAACAUUUUGAUGUCACUGAAGCACCUAGUGCCUGACGAUUGAAAUCCCAUUCACACAGCAUAAUUUAGAAAGCAGAUAUCAAACCCUUGAAAGAUCUCAUCUGAUUCCUCAGUCGCCAGAGACCAAGUAGUAACACCUGUAUACGGGAAGGUAGGGGGGUCAUAUGCUGAGGGAAGGGAAUCUGUUUGAUCUUAGAAAUGUUAUCCAUAGAAUGACUUAGAGUUUAUAUUUUAUGUAUGGUGUCUUGCAUAAUGAUCCCUUAUAGUUCAGGAAGCUUAAAACCACAGCACAAACAAUUUGUAAGGAAUGAUAGCUUUUGUUUCAAGAAAGCUUUUAGCCUGUAAUGGUGCAAAGAUGGUGCAACCCAUUGCUGUGAAUGUGUAUGGAUACCCUGUGGCUAGGGAGCUGUUGCUCUUCCAUCACCUUCCUCACUCCCUGUUUGUGAGUCCAUCUGUUGGGUAAGAAACCUCACAGCGUGUCAUCCAACAGUGUUGUGCAAACUGGAGGGCAGGAAGGAGGGAGAGAGGGAGGAGGGAAGAUACAUAAGGACAUGUGGGCCAAGAGGUAAGUGUUUGUGGAGUUACCAACAACAUAGCUGAAGGAUGGCUGGGAGAAGGCCGCUGAGGUAGCACAGGGCCUGGAGUGCCACAAAGAGGGAAGAGGAGCUGGGAGACAAGGGUGAAGUACUAGGCGGAAUGCAUCUGCCAAGGAAAGGGCCCUAUGCUUUCAUGACUUCUGCAUCUCCAGUUUGCACACUGGCUGGUGAUGGGGGACACCUGGGGACUGGGAUGUGGUGUGGAGUUUAUGGAAGGAGCAGGUUGUUAGACUGAGAACUGCAGGUCUAAGGAAAACCUUCUUUUCAAAGAAGAGGGAAAAGGAAUGUCCGGUUAGGUGUGGUUCAGGCAGUGGCCUGAAAAUGGUGGUCCUGUAGCCCUGCUGCUGAGUGGGAACUGCAGGAUUAGCUGCAUGUUUUUGAUAGAUUCAGUCAUCCUGGUUUCUGUCUCUGUCAUCUUGCCCCGAGUGACUACAUGAAAUUUCUCUUCCCAGUCAUGUUGGAAGCCAGUUCCUCGUACCUCAAGCACAGUCAGAAUAAUGUGUGUUAAGACAGUUACUAUGAUAAGGUGUUACCAACUUGUCUUUCUCUUGCUUGUAAACUAGACAAAAAGAGAUUUGGGGGUCCUUUGUGGUGAUGUAAGGUCAGUUACCUUCAGUGUCAUCAGUGAAUCUUCUUGUACUUGGGUCAGGUAUAAUCAGAGUUCUUAUGUCUUCAUCUGAUUGUCAUCGUGUUCCUCUUCUUACUCCUUUCAAGUUCUCUCUUAGAAAUGUAUGUAAGAUGAUAAAGACUUUUAAACUACAGCAAGAUUUAUGAAUAGCAUUUGCCUGCUUUCAAAUCACCAUUUUGCCCCCCAUUCAGAGCUUGUAAACUGAUUUUUCAGUGUCUAUGGUUCUAGUCUCCACAGAAGUAACAUAGUCUUUCAGAUUCUUUUCUCAUGGGAAGCACAAAGCUAUCAAGUUCCUGAUAGAGCAUUAAUACUUCUGGAAACCGUAAAUGCAUAUCUGUAAAAUCCUGAAAGAUAAUUUAUUUUUCUAACAGAUAUUACCGUUUUCAAAUCAUAGUGAUGCAAGCAUUAUAGCAAUGAGAAUCAAAAUUGAAAGUGGUAAUACACAAAUGUUUAAUGCUAUAGAUUGGAUGUCCAGGCUGAGGGAAAUGAAAACAUAAGCAUAUAACACAAACAAAUUGGAUUGCUAAAAUUUGUUAUUAGUCAGUGGCUUUGCUACUCUACUGGAAGGACAUUUCUUGAAUUGAAUGGGAGGUUGAAGAUGGCUACUUAAACAUGUUACUUUGGGGAGAUUUUCAACAAAAAAAAGAAAUUAUUAAGGAGUGAAGGUUUAAUUUGCAUUAUUGAGAGUUAUGUGGUUUAGAUUUCAGCCUUUAUAUAAAGAACAUUUCAUUCCUAAGGCAAGAAAAAUGUGGAGACUAGUUGUCAGACCAUUAAUAGUGCUGAAUACCCUUUGUUACUCAGUAAAAGAUUGCAGUGGCAAGAGUACUAGAACAUAUCUUUUUAAGAUAGAAGGUAACACUAAGAAACACCACUUCUGGCUUCUUUACCAAGUAUUCUCCUGGUUGAACUAGAAAACUUCCCAUUUUAGCCUGUACUCAAUGAUGUGAUAGAGUGCAGUUACCUUAACAUGGUAUAAUGUCAUCAGCCGAGCUCACCCUACUUGCUAAGUGAAAGAUGUUGACUUGAAUUAUCUUCACUGAAAGUUACCUUUCAGUUGGGGAAGGAAAUCAUGAGCAGUGCUCAUCAGUUACAACUCAAGAAACAGGGCAGAACUCAUUAAGCCCAUCAUACUGCUGAAUUCAGUACCCUGAGCCAUCAAACGGACUUAAACAGGCAGAUUGUAUGGCUAGCUAUUGAAAGAGCUCUAAAAUUGGUAAAUCUGCAGCUUACUCUUUAAGCUUAAUGAGAUGCCGAGUUCAGGUUGUAGCUAUCUUGUAAAGACCGUGAAUCAUGGCAAGCACACUCUUAGGCUAGGAUAAUAAUCUUCUUGGUGAUAGCUAAUGUUUAAAAGUGGAAAACAAGGUCUGAUAUGAUAGUGAAUUGGGAACUAAGCAUCAGUCCUUUUUCUGUCACUCAUUUGCUUUGUUGACUCAGACAAAUCUACUUGAACAUCUCUGCUUCAUUUUCCUUAUUCCAAAAAUAAGAUAUAUAGUUCCCGAAAAGUGUGUUGCCAUUGAGAUACAAUUUCUGUAAGCACUUGGAAGAUGAAAAGCAGUGUUCAAGAAACACUGUGUGGCCUUGCUUCUCUUGUUCCUCCUUAAUGUGCUGGCAUGCACUUAAUGGGAGAACUCCUGUCUUAGCAGAAGUGACCUCACUUCUUAAGCUUCAACGCUUCUGUACAUGCAGAAUCAUAGCAGUGCAACUGUACAAUAAUAGUAGUUAUAUUCUUAAUUGCUUAGCUGGUAGGGGAGGAGGGAAGGGACUCCAGCUUACACCAACAGUUUACUGGUAAAACCUAUUUUAUGCUAGUGUAUGUGCAACUGCACUCACUUUGGGGUCCUGUUGGUAACUUCCAGAGUAGAUGCUCAGCAAGCGCAAUUGCUUCUGUAAGUAGCUUAAGUUAUGUAUCACUUUGUUCAAUGAAUGUGAAGCUCAUGUGAAUACUGUAUUACCUGUGGCAAUGCAGACAGUGCUUUAUUAAUAAUACAAGAAUACGCUGGGUUUUCUGGUCCUGAGAAGAGAAGGAGCAGUGCAAGUACACUGCCAAAUUACUGCAGGAAUAAAGAUGCUUACUCAGGUGUUGCAAAAGACUUGCAGAAACUCACUGUAGCAGAGUAUCAGAAGUGCUGGACAAAGGAGAGAACUAGCAACUGUCACAUCAGCUGAAGAACAGAAUAAGUGUGAAUCUGGGGCUGCUCUUCUGCCCUGUUGUGGUUCUUCAGAGCUGUAUGCCAGGAUGGGCAUGUCUCAGGAGGGGACACCGGGUGCAUCACAGCAUCAUACUGGAAGGAGCCAUGAAAGUGCAGGCUGACAAUGAGCUUGUGGAGAAGGGGUCACAAAAUUCAGAUGCUGUGUAGAGCUGGUGGCUCCUUGAAACUCAACUUAUCCGACCUCAGAUGAAUCCAGAAGUGGUAUCAGCCUGGGAGAAAGAAUGGAGCUCAGAGGCUUCAGAUAGAGAAUUUGGAGAGACACCUUCUCACACCUGUGGAGAACUGCAUAAGAGGAAGAAAGGAUGAUGUGUUCUCCAAAGGUUUCAAGAGCACCAAACCAAGAUUUCCAUGAAACGAUGCAGUGGGGUGGGAAUGGCUGUUUGAAGAAAGGCAGAAGAACUGGAGAGGGACACAGGAAUGUGGAUGAAGAACUUAAGCAUCUCUGGAGAGGCCAAAUGUAGAUUCAACAAAGCUUUAUGAGACAAAAUAUCCUGAGAUGCAUACUCCCAACAGGUCAGCUGUGCAGCCCACUGUCCUCAUGGGGCUUUCCCUGUACAUGUAUCUGCUGGCCAGAUGACCAGGGUAACAUGCCACAAUUUUCCCUUCUACAGAGCCUCAGUGGAAAGUCAGAAUAGUGAUGAGUAUUUGUAGUCUGACCUCAGAAUUGGGUAGAAACAACAAGAAAUUUCCUUUGUUUUUCUAGCCUGAUUGUCUUUAGGGACAAGACAUGGGAAGUCAUGGCAUUUCUUUUCGUCUGCUGGUUUGCAUGCCUCUAGAGAGUUCUCUCUCUUCCUCAUCUUACUUCUGCCUUAGUCUUGGCCAGUUUCAAGGAAAACUUCAUAGAUGAACAGGAAUCUCAAAGCCUGUAAAGUUUUUACAAUGUUUAGAAAGAGAGGCGACUCAGCAGGUGAUAGAAUCCAAACAGGAAAGAGGCCUUUUAGAAAUCCAGACCAGGAAGAUGGCUUUAACUGAAGUUUAUACCUGUUUUUAUGCAGAAGUCAAUCAAUCACAAGAAAUGAAGCUCUAAGAAAUCAUGAUUUAUUCUUUGUGGUGCUCACAGACCGACUUCUUAAGUGACUGUAAAUGUUUUGAGAAGUGUUUUUUACCACUGCUCAAUAAAGUUGUUAUAUGUAA